UAGGGAAUAUUGCGCAAUGGAGGAAACUCUGACGCAGCGACGCCGCGUGGGUGAUGAAGGCUUUCGGGUCGUAAAGCCCUGUCGGAAGGGACGAAAAACGGUUUGGCUAACAUCCAAGCCGCUUGACGGUACCUUCAGAGGAAGCACCGGCUAACUACGUGCCAGCAGCCGCGGUAAUACGUAGGGUGCUAGCGUUGUUCGGAAUCAUUGGGCGUAAAGCGCGUGUAGGCGGUCAAUUAAGUCGGGUGUGAAAUCCCUCGGCUCAACCGGGGAAGUGCAUUCGAAACUAAUUGGCUGGAGAGUGGUAGAGGAAGGUGGAAUUCCAAGUGUAGAGGUGAAAUUCGUAGAUAUUUGGAGGAAUACCGGCGGCGAAGGCGGCCUUCUGGACCAUUUCUGACGCUGAGACGCGAAAGCGUGGGGAGCAAACAG
rnacentral:rRNA from 1 species